GGGGGGGGCAAGCGUUGUUCGGAAUUACUGGGCGUAAAGGGCUCGUAGGUGGCCAAUUAAGUCAGACGUGAAAUCCCCAGGCUCAACUUGGGAACUGCGUCUGAUACUGGUUGGCUUGAAUUCGGGAGAGGGAUGCAGAAUUCCAGGUGUAGCGGUGAAAUGCGUAGAUAUCUGGAGGAAUACCGGUGGCGAAGGCGGCAUCCUGGACCGAGAUUGACACUGAAAAGCGAAAGCCAGGGGAGCAAACGGGAUUAGAUACCCCGGUAGUCCUGGCCCUAAACGAUGAAUGCUUGGUGUGACGGGUAUCGAUCCCUGUCGUGCCGAAGCUAACGCAUUAAGCAUUCCGCCUGGGGAGUACGGUCGCAAGGCUGAA
rnacentral:rRNA from 1 species